UCUUUUUAUUCAUUUUUUUUUUAUUUCUUUUAUUUUUGAUACUAGGAUUGAAACACUAUUUUAAAAAGAACGUUAUCAACUAAUCAUAGUAAAAGUUUUCAAAAAAACAAAUUUAAAUAAUACAGUGUAAAUAGAAACAUAUUUUCUUUGAGUGGCUUUGCGACUUCAAGCAAAUCUAUAGAUUCGCAAAAGUAUGAAAAUCAGUUUCACUUACCCUCAUGGGUCUGAACCUGAGUGGGGGUGAUCGGUCUUUUCUGGCUUCACGGGAUCGGUUUCUCACCACCUUAGAGUGAAUAGCGCAGGAAACGCAGUACAGCAAUUUAGCAUACAGCUUAGGAAGGGCAUACACUGCAACAAACAACCGACAGCAUUUAUCAACUCGCUCAAACAUUUCAAUUGUCUAUCAUUACAGUUUUCUCAUAAUUUUAGAAAAUCAAAAUUGGAAAAUAUGCCGAUUCCAUAACAAUUACCAAAUACAUUAAACCAUACAUUGAUAUUCUAUAAAGAACAGUGGUGAAAAUGACACACGAGUUCCAUAUUUCCUGCUGUAAGAGACAUUCUAAAACAAGAGCCCACAGGCCUUAUCAGUCACCUCGAGUUAAAAGUAUCACUAGCCCCAAGUGCUAUGAAAUCUACAAUAAUUUUCCUAUUCUGCAUGUAUCCUAGCUAAAUUCCAAUAUUCAGGUGCAGUUAGAACAAGGCGUGUUUUUAAAUACAUUAUUUUCCUAGAAGGACUCGUACCGAUUGAAAGACUUUACAUAGUAUAAUAUGUAGCGUUAACAUUAGUGAUGCACCGAUCAUCACUGACUUUUGAUUGUCGGUCGCUAUAACUGAAAUAUUGUGAAUAAUUGAUGGUAAUUUUGAAAAAUCAAAAAUUGCUAAUGUCGGUAUUUCUUCCUUUUUAAAAAUACAAAUAUUUCUGCCGCAACUUAACUAUAAACAAAAAUGACUGACAAAGUUGUGUCAUCCAAUAAGAUUGAAUUUUGUUUAAUGUUCAACACAAGAAUUUACCCUCUAAGUAGACACAUGAAUAUGUAAUUAUAAUGUUUAAAUAAUUACUGUCUUGCAAGCCAAUAAUUCUUCCUUAUAUAUUUCUUUACACUGAAAGCGAUUACCUAGUUGUUUUACACAUACACACUAUAUGACAAGUUUGACCCACUCUGGAGUCAAAAUCUCUACCUCAGGGAUCAUGACAGUGUUUCUGUUCACACAAAUUUCUGCAUAUUUUGCGCAUAAAAUAUUUUUUACCCCCCAAAACAUCACCCAAAGGAUCACAAUGACACAGGGGGGAAAAGACAAUUUUCACAUUUUUGCGAUCGGGCUCAAUGUUCAUUCCCGGAAUAAAAGAGAACCAGCCUUUAGCUGUGUUUCAAUUUGGCGAGGUUCAAUUUUCGAUUUACACUGAACCAAAGAGGACACCGAUUGACAACCUUCCAACAUUAAUCAGAUAUACAUGAUGAUGUACAAGAGUGACAUGGAGACAUAUCAUAUGAUGACAUGUAACCUAUAUAAACUUUAAAGUAAAUUAAUAAAUUAUGAAGUUAUUUAUUUCAUAUGCAUUGAACCAAUAUUUAUUCAUUGAAUGAACAAAACACUACUGUAGUAUAAUCUAAACAGUGUAACUUUCAAAAAAAAAAACUUAUGACUCCCAGAAUUCAGCCACAGAGGGUCAUGAUGACCCUUGAUAUUGUUUAUGAAAUUAGGCAAUAAGUAUUUCUUAGAAAAAGUUAUUAAUAUAAUAUUUACAAGAUUAUGGGUACAAAUGCUGGUGAAUAAUUUAUUAUUUUGUUAAUAUGAAAUUAGACAAUAAGUAUUUCUUAGAAAAAGUAAAUAAUAUCUAUACAAGGUGUGACUUCCAAUACAUAUUUAAUGUUAAAUAAUGAUUUAUUUCAUGAUUUUAAAUCAGAUCUGAAAUAAACCUCGAACAAAAAAAUUGUUAUUUGAUUAUUUUAUACAUCUUUACCAUUUUAAUUUACUAUAAAUGAUUUUUCCCAAUUUGAGGAAAAUGUCGCUAAUUUUUCCCAAUUCAAAGGGAGGGGUGGUAGUUUGAAAAACAAAAAAAAUCACUGCCCCCCCCCCCUCCCCCCCAUGAGACACUAGGGAAGCAGUAAUCCUAAAAUCUAAACUUUACGUCCCCCUUGCUCAAAAGAUGCUGCAUUUCAAAUCUGAAAAGAAUUGCAAUGGUUAUUAUGAAGAAGUUGAAAGUGUUCAAUACAGGUAGUUAAUGCACAACGCACGACUGACACUAACCAAUAGCAAUAAGUCACUUAGGUGACCUAAAAAAUAAUCUUAAAUGAAUGCACGUCUAAAAUUGAUCCUGCAUAAAUUCAUUCUUUUUACCAUCAUAUACACUGGCAUCAGCGAUAUCACGAACAGCAGCCGCCUCUACAAUGUUCCUGAUGACGAACUUCUUAAUGGCCUUAUCUUUCGGCACACAUCUUGCACAGUUUGUGCAGCGAACAAACUGCACAUGCCCCCGCCCCUUCUUGCUUCGUCCAUUAUUCCUUCUUUUCGAAGUCUACAAAAUCAUGAAUGGAUUCAUCAUUACAUGUUGCAUGAGCCAAACUGAUACUUUACCAAAGUUCGUAAUAUUUCUGAGUAAAUUAUCAACCAGGUCAGACUCUUGCCGUUUUGCAAAGACCCAUAAUAGUCUUGGAAAUCUAAAUUCAUACUGUGAUUAGUCCAGAGUUGUCGAAAUUUUUACAUCAUUUUCAGACAUUUGGUUCUGUCAGACCAGAUACAAGUACCUUGUAUUGCAUAAAAAGGAAAAAGAAAAAAGAACUGCAUCAUAAUGCCUUUUAUUGUUUUAACAGCAAUGCGUCUCCCACUCAUAAUAUCCAGCCAAAUACAGUCAGUUUUCCAACCAUCUUAGCACGGAAGCCUUCGUAAUUUUUGAAGUGGUCCAGGUUCAGCAUUUUUUCUUUUCUUACCAAGUUGUUUGUUUGUUUUAUGUCCUGUCAGAACUUUUCCCCUCAUAUUGAGACAUGACCAGCUGUAGGUGAAACACCACAAAUUUAGACCUAUGCUUUGUACUUGGACUCAAGACUGCAGUAGCAAGGGUUCUUUGACGUGCAACUUAUAACCUGCCGCAACAUUGGAGGUCAUAUCUGAAAGACCUGUAACUCUCAUCUCACUGCUAAAUGCUGAGUGUUUGGCAAGAAUAUAUUUACAUCUUAGGUUUGACAUGGUCAUGGCACAAACAGAACUCAAACUCACGACCUUCAAGUUACAAAGCGAACAGUCUACAACUGAGCUACCACAAUCAGUCUUUUCUUCCCAGGUAGAAAACCUUUUAUAAAGAGGCAGUGCGGCCAUGUUGUUUGAGUGACAUUCACUUGCACAUCUUGAACCUAAGCUUUAAAAUAAUCGGACCACACCCGAUAUUUUCAAACGGUCAUUUGGACCGACAUUUUCAUGAAAAUGAUCGGUCCAGCGAAAAUUUUACCGGCCUUGCUGACAGGACCGACAGUUUUCGACAACUCAGUACUCUGUUAGUCAGAUAUUAAGAAUGACGGCUUGGCAUAUUCAUCAAAACAAUUUUUUUUACUAAGCACAACGAGUCACAGUGUUCGAAAUUAACUUUUUCAAGCACUAGUCUGUACAGACUAGUCACUAUUGAUGUUCACUAGUCCGCAAAGCAUUUCACUAGUCCGUCCAGUAUAUCAAAAAAUGAUCUUUAUUUUAAUCAAACUAAACACAUCACAGUUGCAAACAAUUCAAUUUCUGACACCUACAGAAGAAAAAGAGACCACCAUAUUUUAUUUCGUAUUCAAGAUCUUCAAAAGCAUACAAUAUUAACCUCCGAAUUAAUCCUUUGAUAAACGUCCAUAAGUGCGUUCGAGAUCGACGUUCCUGUUGUUUUGGUGUUCAGACCUUAGAGUCACAGGAGUUCGAAGUUUUAUCAAGAAAGUCAAUAAAAUUCACUCGAUUGACCAAGUCAUGAGAUAUAGUGUUAUGAACUACUGUGUUAAGGGUCGCGAAUGACGAGAACAUGUGCAUACAAACGUGCAUGUUCUCAGACCACACUACUUGCAAUUCUUGCACCUAGAACACGUUCUCGUGAUGUGUACUCGGCGUUCGGAAUCGGUAGGAAUUUGACAAUGUGUGCACGUUCGAAGAACGGCGGUCUCAAACGCACUCCAUGUGUUUGGAAGAUCAGACUGUCAUAGUCAGGCAAACACCUGACCAUGCAGGUAAUCAACCAUAAGUUCAAACAUCUAAGAGACUCAGACAAAUCUUGCUACAACCUUUACCAAUUCAAAAUUGAUUUCCGGAUUUUCACUAGUCCGUACGGACUAGUGCUAUAGAGUUCACUAGUCCGACACGUUUUCUACUAGUCUCGGACUUACGGACAUGAGUUAAUUUCGAACCCUGGAGUCAUAUAUAUGUAAUGAAAUGUAAUGUAUAAAGAUUGAUAACAAUAGUAUAGGUGUCUCAAUCUAAUCUUAUCACUAAAAUUUCAUUCUGUAAACAUUUCAGUCUUCAGAGUAGCUUAUAUAAGACAAUGUCAUUUUCUUCUCAUUCUGAGUCCAUGCCUGUAUCAUACUCUACCCUAGACCUCUUAAACAUUAUAAUCAGAUUCAUAUUGAAAUUUUAAAUAUCCGCAGCAAAAGUAGUAAUAUUGUCCAAUCGUUUUGCAUCUUUUGAACUAUGAGUCAUUCAGUGCUGAACAACCACAAUAUGGUUGACUUGUUUGAACUUGAAGGCUAAUGGCUGGUGAAAAUGAAUCUGAUUUGUUGAAACGGAUGAUCAACAUUCAUUUAAAUAUUGCGAGGGUGACCACAAGUAACUACAUUUUAAACGGUAAUUCAAAGUUGGACUGCAACGAAUGACUAAAAUCCAACGUAAUGAAGGAAAAUUGCAUGGAGAAAAUGGUGUAGAGUUAACGACUGCGACCUAAUUCUCGUAAGUUGGGACUUUAUAUCAAAGUUUCUCUGAAGUCAGAUAAAUGAUUUAUAUUCUGGCUUUCAACUGGGAAUGCAUCAUGAUUAAUACCGAAGUUUUGAGAGUUUGGAGCGAACAACUGAAAAUUUCUGGCUGCUUUGUUAGCUCCCUUCUCACUGUAUACUAUAUAUACCAGUUUGCUCAGAUUGUGUCAAAACCCUGUGAAUAGGCCUACCAUACAGAUGAUCAGAAAGUCAUGAGACUCUUGUAUACUAUAAAUUAAUAUGGUGACUAAUUUCAGUGGGAACUUAUAUUUAUACGAAAAAUGUUCUUCGAGGGCGAUGGCUAUUUACAAUGAAGGCCUGUUUUGAAAAUUUAUUGUCUAAUACACUGUUAACACACUAUUAAGUAAUAUCUAAUCAACAAAUGGCUGUUAAGGUUAGUCGCAGAAUAUCCCGGGCCAGGCACGUGUAACAGUGCAGUCUGUUCACAUCAUCAAACACAUUAAAAAUAAUUAUCGAAAUCCGCUAUCCUGACUGAAAUUAAGAGUUACUAUUGCCCUUGAUCUUCAUCGAUGACAAAAGUUUAACUAGACGAGUACUGUCAGUAUUAAAAUCAGAAAACGAUCUGAAUCGAAAAUCUCAUGAAUAUCACACCACAUGCCCGGAUUUCCUACAAUCUUUUAAUUAACUUCAGAAUAUAAGAUUUUUUAAUAACAAUGUUUAGAACAACAGUCAGAACAUCUGAGGCACUCGCGUACGGGCAAUGAAGGCCACAAUGAGAUUUUUUAUUUGAGACCAUGUGGUUUUCACCCACCAUUUUGGACUGCUCGUAGAGAAA